CGGUACCUGCAGAAGAAGCACCGGCUAACUACGUGCCAGCAGCCGCGGUAAUACGUAGGGUGCGAGCGUUAUCCGGAAUUAUUGGGCGUAAAGAGCUCGUAGGCGGUUUGUCGCGUCUGUCGUGAAAGUCCGGGGCUUAACCCCGGAUCUGCGGUGGGUACGGGCAGACUAGAGUGCAGUAGGGGAGACUGGAAUUCCUGGUGUAGCGGUGGAAUGCGCAGAUAUCAGGAGGAACACCGAUGGCGAAGGCAGGUCUCUGGGCUGUAACUGACGCUGAGGAGCGAAAGCAUGGGGAGCGAACAGGAUUAGAUACCCUGGUAGUCCAUGCCGUAAACGUUGGGCACUAGGUGUGGGGACCAUUCCACGGUUUCCGCGCCGCAGCUAACGCAUUAAGUGCCCCGCCUGGGGAGUACGGCCGCAAGGCUAAAACUCAAAGGAAUUGACGGGGGCCCGCACAAGCGGCGGAGCAUGAGGAUUAAUUCGAUGCAACGCGAAGAACCUUACCAAGGCUUGACAUGUUCUCGAUCGCCGUAGAGAUACGGUUUCCCCUUUGGGGCGGGAUCACAGGUGGUGCAUGGUUGUCGUCAGCUCGUGUCGUGAGAAGUUGGGUUAAGUCCCGCAACGAGCGCAACCCUCGUUCCAUGUUGCCAGCACGUCAUGGUGGGGACUCAUGGGAGACUGCCGGGGUCAACUCGGAGGAAGGUGGGGACGACGUCAAAUCAUCAUGCCCCUUAUGUCUUGGGCUUCACGCAUGCUACAAUGGCCGGUACAAUGGGUUGCGAUACUGUGAGGUGGAGC
rnacentral:rRNA from 1 species